AGGGACGACAGCCUCUGAGGGGCCCACCCGGGCUCAUCUUCCGGAAGACCCCGGCGGUAGGGGGCCGAGAACGGACCCUGCGCACAGGGCCCCACGGAUCCGGGACCAGACGGCGGAAGGGGCGCUCCCGCCUGGAGUCCCAGAGGCUGAGAAGUCCAGGAUCAAGGUGCAAGCAGAUUCAGUAUCUGCAUGUGAAGAUACAGCAACAAGGUGGCCAUUGUCUGCAAACCAGGAAGAAGUUUCUCACCAGACACCACAUUGAACCUGCCAGCACCUUGAACCUGGACUUCCCACUCUCUGGAACUCUUUUAUGCUGUAUUUACUUAGCACUGUGACAGCUUGAAAUGAAAAGGAUGAGGAAUACUACACAAAUGAAGGAA